CAGCAGCCGCGGUAAUACGGAGGGAGCUAGCGUUGUUCGGAAUUACUGGGCGUAAAGCGCGCGUAGGCGGUUACUCAAGUCAGAGGUGAAAGCCCGGGGCUCAACCCCGGAACUGCCUUUGAAACUAGGUGACUAGAAUCUUGGAGAGGUCAGUGGAAUUCCGAGUGUAGAGGUGAAAUUCGUAGAUAUUCGGAAGAACACCAGUGGCGAAGGCGACUGACUGGACAAGUAUUGACGCUGGGGUGCGAAAGCGUGGGGAGCAAACAGGAUUAGAUACCCCAGUAGUCCCUGUCUCUUAUAC
rnacentral:rRNA from 1 species